CUGGAUAAGGCCUGGCUUUGGGAUCAGCACUUCCUCUGAUUCUCACUUCAAGAUAAAACUGGUCCUCCUGAAGACGAGAGGCAACAUUCGAGCAGGACAGACACAGACACUUGAGAAAAGACAUCACCAGGAUUAAAGUCAGUGGGCAUACAACAAUGGCUGACUUCAUGCCAGGUAAUGCCAACAAGCUGGUCCAGAGUCCAAAGACAGACGUACAGGAUGGGAGCAAAGUUUCAGCUGAGUCUGCAUCAGCAGCAGUGAUCAAAGCAAGACCUGCAGACCUGGGACUGAUUCGAAGUUUGUCAAAGUCAGACUCUGACUUGUUGUCGUCUCCAGUCGGAGAGGAGGACGGAGGUCUGACAAACCGCAGUGGAUCUGUGGCAAACUGCAGUUCUGGCCAACCAUCAGUGGACCGCAUGCCUUCCUAUGCUUCUGAAUGGGAUGAGAUUGAGAAGAUCAUGACGUUGAUUGGGGCUGGCAUUGAAACAACCAAAAACAAACACCACACACCAAGCUCAGAUGGGGCCUGUGGUAAAGCCCUGGACCAGCCGGUUGGAGAGUGGCUGGAGCACGUGGGGCUGCCGCAGUACGAGAGCAAGUUCCUGCUCAAUGGCUUUGAUGACCUACGAUUCAUGGGAAGUAACGUGAUGGAGGACCAAGAUUUAAGAGACAUGGGGAUCACUGACCCAGGACACAGAAAGAAAAUCCUCCAUGCAGCACGCAGCUUUCCCAAGGUCAAACCUCUAGGUUGUGACGGCAGCACAUCUUUAGCCUCUUGGUUGGAUGGCCUUGGCCUGCAUGAGUAUCUCCCCAACUUUCUGUCUAAUGGCUACCGCACCCUGGAGUGUGUAAAGAACUUGUGGGAGCUGGAGAUUGUCAAUGUUAUAAAAGUUGGGCCCUUAGGCCACAGGAAGAGGAUCAUUGCAUCUCUAGCAGAGAGGCCCUACGAAGAAGCUCCCUCUAAAUCCCGUCGGCUUUCCCCAAUCAUGUUUCAUGACCUCCUAUCCCAGACCACCUCACCUCUCAGUCAGCUGGACCCCUACACAAGUCGCUCCAUGGACAUGCUCCUCCCCCUGACCGAAUCGGACAGAAGGCGAAGAGCACUUGACCAAGACUGUAGCAUUUCCCUGCGUUCCUAUAAUGAGAGGCCGCGUUCUGUUGAGCGACACAGUGAACGCCAAAAAGAGUCUCGUUUAAACUUCCGGCCCCAGAGCCAGUCUGCCACGUACGCCACCGUGUCUGCCUGGCAUCACCAGCCUGAGAAGCUCAUCCUGGACUCCUGCAGGUACGAGGCAACAUAUUUAGGAUCAUUGAUAAUCAGGGAUUUACGAGGGAUUGAAUCCACACAAGAUGCCUGUGCAAAAAUAAGGAAAUCGAAGGAUUCCAAAAAGGGCCCAGUUGUCAUACUGUCCAUCACCUACAGAGGUGUGAAGUUCAUUGAUGCUGCCUCAAAGACUAUAGUUGCAGAGCAUGAAAUCAGAAACAUCUCGUGUGCCGCCCAGGACCCGGAUGACCUCUGUACGUUUGCUUACAUCACCAAGGAUUCAAAGAGUGGACACCACUUCUGUCAUGUUUUCAGUACUGUUGAAGUCAUCCAAACCUAUGAGAUUAUCUUAACACUGGGGCAGGCAUUCGAGGUGGCUUAUCAGAUGGCAGUGCAGUCCAGGGCGAGACAGUAUGUGCCUCCAACAUCUAUGGGCUCAGAGUUCAUCGAAACCAAAACCAGCCGCCCAGUGUCUCAGUCGUGGAACAGCAUGAGAAGAUCAGCGGGCGUCCCUCUGCUCGAAUGCCGCUGCUGUCACUGUCACACGUGUACUACCCACCGUCCUUCCUUCCUCCCGUUGCACUCUGUUAGCCCUGGAAUCCAGAUUGACCCCCUGGAGAUGGACGCCGACAUGCAGUCGCUGGGCAGCACCACCUGGCUCUGUGACCAGCGAGACUCCAACAGGCGUCCCGUCAGCACCAAGUAUGAGACCACCAUAUUCUGAGGCAGGAACUUCCCCCCUCCCUCCCCCACACAGCUGCCCCCUCCUCACUGCACCUCCCUUGUACUUUUCGCCUCUACCCUUGCAUCCGGUUCUCUGCUCAUCUCUUUCUCUCACACACACUCAGAGAGAUAUAUAUACAAGUGAGCCCGUGCCUUCUCACUGUGAUGGUAUAGCAUCCCUCAGGGCUGCCUCUUCCUGCACCUUCCUUUGCCCUGCCCAGCAACCCACGCCGACCUCCUACAUGCCAUGACAAACACUCCUGCGGCUCUCCUGAGCUCUCCCAACAUCCCCGGCAGCCUCCCUCGCCUGUUGCUGCUGCAGCCAAUGGCGGAGCCUUGGAACGGAUGAUCCUGGACUGAUCUCAUUUUACAGUGGCCCUGCUCUCUCUCGACCAAACUGCCUCUUCCUCCUCAUCCUCCUCUUCCUGACAACUUGCAUCUGCCUCCAAAUCCCCGAUAGCUCCCAAAGGUUGCAUCUUUAUUCUUCUUCUUCCUCUUUCAAGACAUUCUUUUUGUUUGGUUUUCCUUCGGUUUUCUCCACAGGCUAAACAACCUGUCCUGUCUUACCAGGCAUCUACCACUGUGAGGCACUAUGAGGAGGCUGCUUUGCUAGCAUGGGACACAAGAUGGACAAAUACAUAUAAAUAUAGUGAAAGAAAAACAGCAACAUGCAGCAAACAACCUGUAUUUUUUUACUCAUUUGUACAGUACUCAUAGUAAGCCCACAAAUGGAUUGGUCACAAAUCGAUCACUGAUGUCUGAACUCAAAGCCGACUGAGAACUGAAACCUUCCUACACGAUGUUGCGAUAUCUAUAAUCGACUAAAACUCCCAAGUAAUCCCCUAUCCUGCCAAACUCCAGCACCCAACAGCUGCACGUCUCCAACCAGUUUUUAAAAGAGGGGAAGGAGAAAAAAAACAAAACAUUUUUGGCUUUUCUGCUGUAUUUAAUUGUGACUGGCUGGGAAUAUGUUACAUAGAUGUUGGUACAGGUUUGUUGAGAUGAGUCUGGCCUUGUACUGCCCAGUGCCUGUUAGCAUUAAUGGUAGCGCUGAGAGCCUGCAAAAUCUUCUUCAUUUAAAAAAAGCAAAACUAAAAGCACUGUGUUUGAAAAAAAAAGCACUAUCCCUUUUAAAACUUUGUUUUCCUAAAGUGCAAGUGGAGUAUUAGUGCAUUUUGUGAUACUUUUUUAAAGAUGGGAAGUAACUGAAAAUAUCUCAAUAUGAGGUAAAAGAAUGAAAAGAGAAAGAAAAAAAAACUUAAAUAUUGACAAUAGUCCCAUGUUUCACUUAUUUUUGUAUUCAACACAUGAAGAUUUCUUUUAAGAUAUUGCUCUGAUGUUUUUAAGUGAGGUUGUGUUAAAAAGGAAGAAGGAGUUGAUCUCUUAAAUCAGUAAACAAAUCUUUUGGUGUCUUCAUUUAAAAAUCCAAACGAGCUUCUCCUGAAGAGUGAAGCUAAUCAGAGUUCCCAUUGCUGGAUGAUGAGCAUCUUUAGCUGGCUUUUUAAUGACAUCCUGGACAGACUGUAUUGUGUAUCGUUUAGACCUGGGGACAAUUAAGAGACAACGAUUGAUCUAAUGGUCAAAUUGUUCGGUUUGUGGGAUGAAGCCAAAUGGGUAAAAUAUGUUACAGGUCUUCAAGCCAAAAAUGUUCCUUUCCUCAUAAUCAAAGUUUUCUAUUUUUGAAACCCUAUUUAUGUUAAAUAAAAACUCCCCCAUUACUUUGGUUACAUCCUACUUUCAUCGUAUAAAGACACUUAUUGGAUCAAUGAAAUGAUGAUAAAACAUUUGUGGUGUUAAACUGAAAGUGGGACAAAUAAAAUAAACCCUAAAAUGGCUUGAGACAUUAGCACGAUGUAAAGGAGCUCUGCACUCCUUCCCUGCAGCUACUUUUUAAACGCAGGUGAAACUAACUUGUUUUUUUUAUAUAUAAUGAUUACUGUACUAAAUUAAUUGACAUGUUAUUGUUUUAACAUUGUCUUAUUUUUGGGGGGAAUUAAGCAGCGACUGUGUCUUUUUUUGCAAAAAUGUAAAAACGUACAUAUAUAUUUUUUAUUCAUUUGUUUAAGAAGCCUAUAUAUUAAUCUGUUUAAGCAAAUAUAAAAAAUUAUGAAAAGAGAUCAGGAAAAAAAAUCUGGAUCUUUAUAUCGUUAUUAAAUAAACUACACAUGAACACACUUAUUAUGUGUAAAUAAAACAUACAUCCAGAACUUUUCAUCCUUAUUUAUUUAUUUUUUAAGCCUUCAAAUUUAGAGAAUAGAGGCUCAUUUGCAACUGUUUUUUACUCCAAUACAACAACUGAAAGGGUUGAAAUAGGCUUAUAAAAUUGUGUUUCCACACACAGUAACUACCAGUAAAAAAGUAAUGCAGUGUAUCAAUAUAUAAAAUAGUGUAUGUCUCCCAACAUGAGCAUUUCUUUUUAGCAUUUUAAAAUUUUUCAAAAGCCUUUGCAUAAACUGAUUUAAAUUAAGUUAUCUUUUUUUAAAUACUAGAUUUCUCUUUGGCUUCGGCCCUUUUAGCUUCAGCCUCCAGGACUAACUCAUCAGAUUUUUCUCUUAAUGAAGACACCAAAACAAUAAUGUGCUGCAGGUAAGAUAUGAAACUCUUACAACCUUCUAACAUAGCUCCACUUAAAACAAAAUUGUGAGCCGUCUCUUUAACAUGAGUGUAACAUGAGCCCCCUGCACAGUUUGGUGCACAGUUCCCUUUAUAGCAUAGCUUAUUAUACAUGUAUAUUAAAUAGUUGGGUUUUUAUUUACCACCACUUCUAAAUUUGAAACAGAUCACUUAAAGUUUGUCACAUCACCUGAAAGAGCCAAAUCUCGUCUUGUUUUGGUGUCCGGUUCAUGCGGUAGAUCUGUAAAGCUGAAACCAUGAUUAUUCAGACAAAGUAUUUUCCUCCUGCACUGUGAUUAAAAAAAAGAUGCUGAUUGUGAAAUUGAGAUAUUGGGUUCUUAAUCCCCGCCCCCACCGCGUGCACUGCCAGCCGUGUGUCCUGUAUGCUUUGUUUCUGUCUGUCCACGUGGAUUUGGACUGCUGCAUCACUGGCCGCUGUCCUUGUUUCUCUGUGUGCCGCAGGAGAAGUGAGGGACUGAGCUCCUCUCCAAAGACAGUGUGUCUGGAGACUCUUUAGAUGUAGCUGCUGUGUGUGCGGAGCCGUGGUUAUGUCAUUGCCACUUUGUUCCGACUUUUAUCUGUUAGCUUCCACUGAUGAUGCAUGUUUGGCAGUGUCUUUGUGUUUUGUCCCCUCUGAUGCACUUGGCCUGAGCAGUCUCUGUGUGUACUGUACUGUAGCAGCGUCUCGUCUCUCGCUCUUUCAUCUGCCAUAUGCCUUUUAUUUUCCCUCUCUCAGUUUACAUCCUAAUUCAUACCCAUCCAUCCGUUUCCACCGUUCUCACAAUUUCUGUCACACUCGUCCCCCCCAUACCACCUCCACCACCACCAUUUUGUAUGUCACCAAGACAACCUGCUCUCGUAUGGCUGCACACUAUUAAGAAAAAAGAAAAAAAAGCAUUACACUUUAAUGAAGAGCAGCUAUUUAAAGCAAGUUUUUGGUAGCAUGAUGUGGCUGUGCAUGUACCGGUCCUCUUUUUUAACAUUCGUAUUCUCCCUGUGUAGCUCACCCCAACGUUCAAGUUUCCGGACACCAAGCUGUGAGUUGAAGGGGAGCAGCCGAUGCGAGUGUGUUUGCGAGGGUUGAAUUAGUGCACAUAGCAGAGGGAAAACCAUAAAAAAGAGGGAGAAAGGGCCAAGCGGCGUUAUUCUGACAUUUAUAUCUCACUCUGUACACCUUCUGCUCCUGCACUGCCCCCAAGAUGAAUCCCUAACUCACAGCCAAAAGGUAACUUGUGGUCACACAUCACUGGCUAAACAGGACCUGUAUAUCAAUCCUGUUUGGAGAGAGGUCAGACAGUAAGGUCAGGUCUAAUUCCUGGCCUCCAUCUAACUGAUCUUGUCCUGUAGGUACUGUUAUGUUUAGAGCUCUGUAGCCCGUUAGUAUUACCAUUAAUGAGAAUUUCUACUGAUUAAGGUGAAGAAAAUGAAUGGGAUUUGAUAAUGAGUGACAAAAUGUAGAGAAAAAAAAUAAACUGUUCCAGCAUACAAUGCUUUGCCCAUAUUUGUGGUCAGAGUAUAGCUUGUUGUUGAAAAUGUGAUACUGUUUCGAAUUUCAAAGCAAUAUUAUAUUCAUGAUAUUAAAUAAUACAAAGACUAAAGAAACCCUCUCAAGUUGGUUGUCAGCAUUGAUUUUCUUUACAUGGCUGAGCAGUUAAAAACAGACACAUUACACCAGCUGUUCAAAAUCAAAAGUGACAUUACAAGAUGGUAAUUAUUUUACAAUUGAGCUUUCAUUGUUUUCCCUGCUGAACAAGAUUAGUGGAUGGUGCAACUUCUAAUCUAAACAAACGAUUAGCCCCGUUUGUGCCUCUCAUGUACUUUAUUAUUUUCAAGUUGCGGAACUGAGUUCCUGCGGAUCUUUGAAAAGAGAAAAAAAAA